rnacentral:rRNA from 1 species
ACUGAAAUCACAAAAGACAUAAUUGUGUUAAAUGUGAUAAGGUAAGGAGGAAAACUGAUGUAACCUUACUAUUAGUGUUGUCCAAAUCUGGUGCCAGAAGACUCGGUAAGACCAGGAAACGCAAACGUUAAUCGUCUUUAUCAGGCGUAAAGGGUUUGUAGGCUGCUUUUACUAUUUUUUAAAUUAGCUCUGAUAAAAUUUCAGUUUAAAAAAUACAAUAAAAGCUAGAAUCAAAUUGAGGGUAAGCCGAAGAAUACUUAGAGUAGGGAUGAUAUCCAUAGAUACUAAGGGGAAUACUAAAGGUGAAAACUUUUAUCUACUAUUGAUUGACGCUGAGAAACGAAGGUGAGAAUAGGAAAUAGGAUUAGAUACCCAGAUACCUCUCACUGUCAACGAUGAAUGGUGGUUUGUUAGUUUUAAUAAAAACUAAUAACGAUGCUAACGCGAUAACCAUUCCGCCUUGCGAGUACGGUU